rnacentral:rRNA from 1 species
UCAGGCCUAACACAUGCAAGUCGUACGAGAGUUUUUAACUCUAGUGGCGGACGGGUGAGUAACACGUGAGAAUUUGCCUUUAGGAGGGGGACAACAAUUGGAAACGAAUGCUAAUACCCCAUAUGCUUUCGAGUGAAAUGGAUUUUAUCCGCCUAGAGAGAAGCUCGCGGCUGAUUAGCUUGUUGGUAAGGUAAGAGCUUACCAAGGCGACGAUCAGUAUCUGGUUUGAGAGGACGAUCAGACACACUGGAACUGAGACACGGUCCAGACUCCUACGGGAGGCAGCAGUGGGGAAUUUUCCGCAAAGGGCGAAAGCCUGACGGAGCAAUACCGCGUGAGGGAAAAAGGCCUAUGGGUUGUAAACCUCUUUUUCAGGGAGGAAAAAA